rnacentral:rRNA from 1 species
UACGAAGGGGGCAAGCGUUGUUCGGAAUUACUGGGCGUAAAGGGCGCGUAGGCGGCUUAUCAAGUCAGGCGUGAAAUUCCCGGGCUCAACCUGGGGGCUGCGCUUGAUACUGAUUGGCUUGAAUGCGGGAGAGGAUAGUGGAAUUCCCAGUGUAGAGGUGAAAUUCGUAGAUAUUGGGAAGAACACCGGUGGCGAAGGCGCUAUCUGGCCCGUAAUUGACGCUGAGGCGUCGAAAGCGUGGGGAGCAACAGG